GAAAUAGGCAAGUCUUUCCUGUUGAAUUAGUUUCACCAUACUAUUUGAUUACGUAUAAUUCAUUUUAAUUUGAAUCAUACAACUUGUUGCUUCAAGUUUAGUUAGAAUCACUUUCUCAUGGAAAUUACCUGCUUCUUCAUGCUCUGACUCUGGUGGCCUGGUGGCUUGGGGAAAGCUUCCACUCAUGCACUGGUGUACGCUCCCAAGGAAAGGACUGCGGCAUAACAUGGUUUCCUUCCCCGCUUCCUAGUGUUACCCUCGGUGAUAUCAUAUCGGUGGAAAAUUUGGUAGAGGUGGAAAUCAUACUUCGUUUCGUCACUUCAUCGUUUUUUGGCUCAACCCUCCUUAAACUUGAUGUUGUUCUACUACCAAAUGGUAGAGCCGAGUUUUCGGCUUUUGUCUUUCUAAGAGCUAAAUGACUUCGCAUCAUUCAGCACGGACAAAAAGGAAGAUGCCUCAACUACGGAAGCUGAAAUGUAUGGUGAAUUGCAAAGGAAGCAUCUGUAACAUCUUCAG